rnacentral:ncRNA from 2 species
UUCUUAUCCAGAGAGGUGGAGGGACUGGCCCUGUGAAACCUCGGCAACGGACAUUUGAACCGUGCCAACUCCAACAAGCAGUGCUUGAUAGAUAAGAA